rnacentral:rRNA from 1 species
UACGUAGGGGGUCUAGCGUUGUUCCGGAAUUAUUGGGCGUAAAGAGCUCGUAGGCGGUUACGGCAAGUCGGAUGAUGAAAUCUCCACGCUUAACGUGGAGGGGCCAUUCGAAACUGCCGUGACUCGAAGUCCGGUAGGGGAGGUUACGGAAUUCCCGGUGUAGCGGUGAAAUGCGCAGAUAUCGGGAGGAACACCAGUCGG